GCAGGGGCGCAGCUACCAUGCAGUCGAGCGGAACGAUGGAAGCUUGCUUCCAGGCGUCGAGCGGCGGACGGGUGAGUAAUGCAUAGGAAUCUGCCCGAUAGUGGGGGAUAACCUGGGGAAACCCAGGCUAAUACCGCAUACGUCCUACGGGAGAAAGCAGGGGAUCUUCGGACCUUGCGCUAUCGGAUGAGCCUAUGUCGGAUUAGCUAGUUGGUGAGGUAACGGCUCACCAAGGCCGCGAUCCGUAGCUGGUCUGAGAGGAUGAUCAGCCACAUCGGGACUGAGACACGGCCCGAACUCCUACGGGAGGCAGCAGUGGGGAAUAUUGGACAAUGGGCGAAAGCCUGAUCCAGCCAUGCCGCGUGUGUGAAGAAGGCUUUCGGGUUGUAAAGCACUUUCAGUGGGGAAGAAAUCCUCGGGGCCAAUACCCUCGAGGGAGGACAUCACCCACAGAAGAAGCACCGGCUAACUCCGUGCCAGCAGCCGCGGUAAUACGGAGGGUGCGAGCGUUAAUCGGAAUUACUGGGCGUAAAGCGCGCGUAGGCGGCGUGAUAAGCCGGUUGUGAAAGCCCCGGGCUCAACCUGGGAACGGCAUCCGGAACUGUCAGGCUAGAGUGCAGGAGAGGAAGGUAGAAUUCCCGGUGUAGCGGUGAAAUGCGUAGAGAUCGGGAGGAAUACCAGUGGCGAAGGCGGCCUUCUGGACUGACACUGACGCUGAGGUGCGAAAGCGUGGGUAGCAAACAGGAUUAGAUACCCUGGUAGUCCACGCCGUAAACGAUGUCGACUAGCCGUUGGGGUCCUUGUGAUCUUUGUGGCGCAGUUAACGCGAUAAGUCGACCGCCUGGGGAGUACGGCCGCAAGGUUAAAACUCAAAUGAAUUGACGGGGGCCCGCACAAGCGGUGGAGCAUGUGGUUUAAUUCGAUGCAACGCGAAGAACCUUACCUACUCUUGACAUCGUGCGAACUUUCCAGAGAUGGAUUGGUGCCUUCGGGAACGCACAGACAGGUGCUGCAUGGCCGUCGUCAGCUCGUGUUGUGAAAUGUUGGGUUAAGUCCCGUAACGAGCGCAACCCUUGUCCCUAUUUGCCAGCGAUUCGGUCGGGAACUCUAGGGAGACUGCCGGUGACAAACCGGAGGAAGGUGGGGACGACGUCAGGUCAUCAUGGCCCUUACGAGUAGGGCUACACACGUGCUACAAUGGCCGGUACAAAGGGUUGCGAAGCCGCGAGGUGGAGCUAAUCCCGAAAAGCCGGUCUCAGUCCGGAUCGGAGUCUGCAACUCGACUCCGUGAAGUCGGAAUCGCUAGUAAUCGUGAAUCAGAAUGUCACGGUGAAUACGUUCCCGGGCCUUGUACACACCGCCCGUCACACCAUGGGAGUGGACUGCACCAGAAGUGGUUAGCCUAACUUCGGAGGGCGAUCACCACGGUGUACGU
rnacentral:rRNA from 1 species